GGCUACAUCACGUUGAAACACUUGUUCCCGUACGAUCGCCGAAGUUAAGCAACGUCGAACCUGGUCAGUACCUAGGUGGAUGAUCGCUUCGGAAAACCAGGUGCUGUAAG